rnacentral:rRNA from 1 species
UACAGAGGUGGCAAGCGUUGUUCGGAAUUACUGGGCGUAAAGGGCGCGUAGGCGGCCAUCUAAGUCAGACGUGAAAUCCCCCGGCUUAACCUGGGAACUGCGUCUGAUACUGGAAGGCUUGAGUAUGGGAGAGGGAUGUAGAAUUCCAGGUGUAGCGGUGAAAUGCGUAGAUAUCAGGAGGAACACCGGUGGCGAAGGCGGUUCUCUGGGCCUGUACUGACGCUGAGGAGCGAAAGCGUGGGGAGCGAACAGG